rnacentral:rRNA from 1 species
AAUAAUUUAUUUGAUGGUUUCUUACUACAUGGAUAACUGUAGUAAUUCUAGAGCUAAUACAUGCGUAAAGUCCCGACUCUCGCGGGGAGGGAUGUAUUUAUUAGAUUAAAAACCAAUGCGGCCUUUGGUCGGACUUGUGUUGAUUCAUAGUAACUUUUCGGAUCGCAGGGCUUCACGCCGGCGACAGUUCAUUCAAAUUUCUGCCCUAUCAGCUUUCGACGGUAGUGUAGUGGACUACCGUGGCAUUUACGGGUGACGGAGAAUUAGGGUUCGAUUCCGGAGAGGGAGCCUGAGAAACGGCUACCACA